rnacentral:rRNA from 1 species
AUUGAACGCUGGCGGCAUGCCUUACACAUGCAAGUCGAACGGCAGCACGGGAGCAAUCCUGGUGGCGAGUGGCGAACGGGUGAGUAAAGUAUCGGAACGUGCCCAGUCGUGGGGGAUAACGUAGCGAAAGUUACGCUAAUACCGCAUACGAUCUAUGGAUGAAAGCGGGGGAUCGCAAGACCUCGCGCGACUGGAGCGGCCGAUAUCAGAUUAGGUAGUUGGUGGGGUAAAGGAUCACCAAGCCGACGAUCUGUAGCUGGUCUGAGAGGACGACCAGCCACACUGGGACUGAGACACGGCCCAGACUCCUACGGGAGGCAGCAGUGGGGAAUUUUGGACAAUGGGCGAAAGCCUGAUCCAGCCAUGCCGCGUGCAGGAUGAAGGCCUUCGGGUUGUAAACUGCUUUUGUACGGAACGAAAAGGUUUGGGCUAAUAAGCUGAGCUCAUGACGGUACCGUAAGAAUAAGCACCGGCUAACUACGUGCCAGCCGCCGCAGUAA